rnacentral:lncRNA from 1 species
CAAGAAUGAAGAAGGCCUAGCUUGUGAAAUGGUACUAAAUCAGGUACUAAUUCCUUGAUCUCAAAAUUCAAAGAAUCCUUUGCUUUCUUGUCCUGUCUCAGAGUUGGGAAGAUACAGUAAUACAUUUUUUUUUCCCAAAGUGUAACUGGUUAUACUACGUAUUGCUAUCAUGGGGUUGAUGAUCAUAAAGAUGAAUGCCAACAUUAACUGAAAGCUAACUUACAGUGUUCUUGUCAUGGAUCAGUGGUUAAUGAGCCUGACUAGUAUCCAUGAGGAAGCAGGUUUGAUCCCUGGCCGUUCUCGGUGGGUUGAGGAUCUGGCAUUGCUGUGGGCUAUGGUGAAGGUUGCAGACAUGGCUUGGAUCCCAAGUUGCUGUGGCUGUGGUGUAGGCUGGCAGCUAUAGCUCCAAUUCGACCCCUAGCCUGGGAACCUCCAUAUGCUUCAGGGGAGGCCCUCAAAAGACAAAAAAAAAAAAAAAGCUAACAUCAUGUACUGGGCAAUGGGAUAAUUAUUUAGUUUAUUUUUUCACUUAAUUAAAAAUAAUAUUAUAUGAGAUAUGUACUGUUGUUCUUCUCAUUUUAGAUGUGAAGACAUCUAGAUUUAGAUGUAACUUUUUUAGUAUCCCUUAGAUAAAAGGUGGCAAUGCUGGGGCUCUGAUCCAGGCCAUCUCAUCCCAGAGCCUGUAUUCUUAACUUGUAUGCUGCUUUCGUGUUUAAAAUAUGUUUACUGCCAGUUGCCUCUUUUAUGUUUAUUUUCUAGCAUUUAUUAAAUAUCUUGCAUGGAGUUUUUUUCAUUUCUCCCCACAAACCAGCUAUCCCUCAAUUGUUCUUUCUGAUAUUGGUGAAGGGUAUGCCAUAGUUUUUCCAGUCACCCAGACUUCAAUCCUCAGAGUCAUAUAUAAUUUUUCCCUUUCUUUCCUGUGACUUUUCCUUGGUGAUACCUUACCCCUGUUCCAUUCUUUCUGGUUUCUUUCCUCUUAACCCAGUCCCUCUGGUCUAGUCUUGGAUUGUGACAGGUGAUUUUCCUUCCUUCAUUUUCUCAUUUUUGCAGUCCUUCUGAAAGGGUUGCCUUUUACUCUAGUUAAAAAUCUUUCUGUUGUUCCUGAUGCUGGGGUUCCUAAAAGCCAGUUUUCAAAUAGUGUCAUAUUUUUAGGGUCUCACCUGUGGCAUAUGGAAGUUCCAGGCUAGGGGUCGAAUCAAAGCUACAGCCACUGGCCUGCACCACAGCCGCAGCAACAUGGGAGCCAAGCCUUGUCUGUGACUUACACCACAGCUUAUGGCAAUGCUGGAUCCUUAACCCAUGAGCAAGGCCAGGGAUCAAACCUGCAUCUUCAUAGAUCCUAGUCAGGUUUGUUAACUGCUGAGACACAAAGGGAACUCCUUGGCCUAUGCAUUUUUAACAAGCCUCCCGAUUCUGUUGCCCUGAUAGAUUUAGAAAACACUAGGCAACCUUCAACCUCUUAGAAUCCCUCCCCUAAAUACUGUCUUUCUCUGUGAUCUUGCCUCCAUCUAGUGGAUCUGACAUUUCUGUAGCAUUUGAAUCCCAAUCAUUCCCUCCUUGCUGAUGUCUUUCCACAUAACAAACAUACUCUCUAGCUCACUGUGCAGACUCCUUUUCUCCAUUCCCUCAUGUUUUGACCCCUUCCCCUACUACGUACACUCCUUCAGUAUCUUCCAUGUUUAAGGCUUCAGCUGUCUGAAUGUGGCAAGAAUAUCCAAAUCUGUUUAUCUGACCCCAAUCCAUUUUCUAGCUGUUUCUGGCAUUUCACCAUUAACAUUAUUACCUGCUCCAUUGUUCAAGCUGGAAACCUGGGCUAUGGAUAAGAGCUUGGAGUUCGGAGUUAGAAGUCUAGGUUGGAAUUGAAUUCUACCACUCUCUAGCUGAGUAUAUUUCGGGCAGGUCAUUUAACCUCUCUAAACCUUAGAUUCCUUGUUUGUGAAAUGGGGACAACAUUACUUUCUUCAUGGUAUUAUUGUGAAGAUUCAAUAAGAGAAUAUAGAAAAAACAAUAAUUUGAUUACUAUCUAUGGAGCCGUUCCUGUGUACCAAGUACUGUGAUGGUGCUGGGAGGUAGUUGUGAGUAAGGCUGCCCUCAUGGGGCUCUGGCUGGCUACUGAAGUUUUAUUGUUUUGCCUCCUUAGUCUCUCUUUCUCCCUCUUUUUUUCUUUUUUGGCUAUCCCAUGACAUACAGAGUUCCCAGGCCAGGGAUCAGAUCCAGAGAUCCAAGCCAUACUUGCAAUCUAUGCCAAAACUGUAGCAACAUCAGAUCCUUAACUCAUUGUGCCUGGCCAGGAAUCGAACCUGUCUCCCAAUGCUCUAGAGACACUGCCCAUCCUGUUGCUCCAACAGUGGGAACUCCUUUUUUUCUUUUUUUAAUUUUAUGGCUGCAUCCACUGCAUAUGGAAGUUCCUGGGCCAGGGAUUGAAUCUGAGCUUCAGCCAUGACUUCCAUCGCAACGGCAGCAACACUGGAUCCUUAAAGGUGUUCCACUGUGACACUGCAUUUCUGCAGUGACCCGAGCCACUGCAAUUGGAUUCUUAACCCACUAUGCCAUAGUAGGAACCUUCUUCCUUUUUUCCACUUCUUUUAAAAAAAUUAUAGUUGAUUUACAAUGUUGUGCCAAUUUCUGCAGUACAGCAAAGGGACUCACUUAUAUGUAUAUAUACAUUCCCUUUCUUAUAUUCCAUCAUUCUCUAUGACAAAAGACAGGAUAUAGUUCCCUGUGCUAUACAGUAGCACCUCAUUGCUUACCCAUUUAAUAGUUCGAAUUUACUAACUCCAAACUCCCAGUCCAUCCCACUCCCCCCCCCACUUUGCCCUUGGCAACCAUAAGCUUGUCCUCUAUGUCUGUGAAUCUGUUUCUGUUUUGUAGAUAGGUUCAUUUGUGUCAUAUUUUAGAUUCCACAUGUAAGUGAUAUCAUAUGGUUUUUGUCUUUCUCUUUCUGACUUAACUCAGUAUGAGAAUCUCUAGUUGCAUACAUGUUGCUGCAAAUGGCAUUUUUGUUCUUUUUUGUGGCUGAGUAGUAUUCCAUUGUAUAUAUGUACCACACCUUCCAAAUCCAUACAUCUGUUGAUGGCCAUUUAGGUUGUUUCCAUGUCUUGGCUUUUGUGAAUAGUGCUACAGUGAACAUAUGGGUACAUGUAUCUUUUUGUUUUGUAUUUUGUCCAGGUAGAUGCCCAGGAGUGGGAUUGCUGGAUCAUGUGGUAGUUUUGUCUUUUUUUUUUUUUCUCUUUUUGCCAUUUCUUGGGCCACUCCCACGGCAUAUGGAGGUUCGCAGGCUAGGGUUCUAAUCAGAGCUGUAGCCACUGGCCUGUGCCAGAGCCACAGCAACUCGGGGAUCCGAGCCACGUCUGCAACCUACACCACAGCUCACGGCAAUGCUGGAUCCCUAACCCACUGAGCAAGACCAGGGAUUGAACCCGCAACUCAUCGUUCCUAGUCAGAUUCGUUAACCACUGAGCCACGACGGGAACUCCCAUAUGGUAGUUUUAUAUUCAUUUUUCUGAGGAACCUCCAUACUGUUUUCCAUGGUGGCUGUACCAAUUUACAUUCCUAACAGUGUAGGAUGGUUCCCUUUUUUCCAUAACCUCUCCAGCAUUUGUUAUUUGUAGACUUAUUAAUGAUAGCCAUCCUGACUGGUGUGAAGUUGUUCCUCAUUGUAGUUUUGAUUUGCAGUUCUCUAAUAAUUAGUGAUGUUGAGGAUUUUUUCAUGUGCUUGCUGGCCAUCUAUAUGUCUUCUUUGGAGAAAUAUCUAGGUCUUCUGCUCAUUUUUUGAUUGGGUUGUUUGUUCAUUUGUUUGUUGAGUUGUAUGGGUUAUUUGUAUAUUAUGGAGAUUAAGCUCUUAUUGGUUGCAUCGUUUGCAAUUAUUUUCUCCCAUUCUGUAGGUUGUCUUUUUUUUUUAAAUUUUUUAUGGUUUCCUUUGCUGUGCAAAAGCUUAUGUUUCUUUAGAUCCCAUUUGUUUAAUUUUGUUUUUAUUUCUAUUUCCUUCAGAGACUGAGCUAAGAAAACAUCUGAUGGUUUAUUUCAGAAAAUGUUUUGUACUAUGUUCUCUUCUAGCAAUUUUAUGGUGUCAUAUCUUGUGUUUAAGUUUUUAGGCAAUUUAGGGAGUUCCCAUUGUGGGCCAGAGGAAACAAAUCUGACUAGUAUACAUGAGGAUGCAGGUUCGAUCCCUGGCCUCACUCAGUGGGUCAGGGAUCUGGCUUUGCCAUGAGCUGUGGUGUAGGAUGUAGACUUGGCCUGGAUCCUUCACUGCUGUGGCGUAGGCCAUCAGCUGUAGCUCUGAUUUGACCCCUAGCCUGGGAACUUGUAUAUGCCACAGGUGUGGCCCGAAAAAGCAAAAAAAAAAAAGUCUUUAAGCCAUUUUAGAGUUUAUUUUUGUGUAUGGUGUGAGGGUGUGUUCUAGUUUCAUUAAUUUACAUGCAGCUGUCCAGUUUUCCCAGCACCACUUGCUGAAGAGACUCUUUUCCUUAUUUUAUAUGCUUACCUCCUUUGUCAAAAAUCAAUUGACUGUAGGUGUCUGGGUUUAUUUCUGGGCACUCUAUUCUGUUCCAUUGUUCUGUAUGUCUGUUUUUGUACCAGUACCACACUGUCCUAAUUACUGUAGCUUUGUGAUAUUGUCUGAAGUGUGGGAGAGUUAUACCUCCUGCUUUGAUUAUUUCCCCCCCACUGGAUUGCUUUGGCAAUUCUAGGUCUUUUAUGAUUCCAUAUAAAUUUUUGGAUUAUUUGUUCUAAUUCUAUGAAAAAUGUCAUGGAUAAUUUGAUAGGGAUUGCAUAAAAUCUGUAGAUUGCUUUGGGUAGUAUGGCCAUUUUAACAAUAUUAAUUCUUCAAAUCCAGGAGCAUGGGGUAUCUUUCCAUUUCUUGAAUCCUCUUUAGUUUCUUUAAGUUUUAUAGUUCUCAGUGUGUAAGUCUUUCACCUCCUUGGUUAGGUUUAUUCCUAAGUAUUUAAUUUUUUAGUGUGCAAUUUUAAAAGACAUUUUAAAAAUAUUUCUUUUCUAAUAUUUCAUUGUUAGUGUACAGAAAGGCAAUCAAUUUCUGAAUAUUAAUCUUGUAUCCUACUUUGCUAAAUUGGGAACUCCUUUUUUACCGUUUCUUUUUACCUCCUUAGUCUCUAAUGUUUCCUUUUUUAUCCUUUCUCAGUGCCACUACCAUAGUUCAGGGUCUCCUCAUCUUUUGUUGAAACUGUUAAAAAAGCUUCCUACCUAAUCUCCUUGCUUCCACAGAGCUAUGGAGUGUUCUUUUAAAAUUGGGAAUUCAGGAAGUUUCUUUAUAGCACAGUGGAUUAAGGAUCUGGCUUUGCUGCAGCAAUGUGGCACAGUUUUGCUCCCUAGCCUGGGAAUUUCCUCAUGCUGCAGGUGGAGCCAGAAAAAAAAACAAAAAUUUGAGGAAUUCAGAUGAUGCCACUUCCCUGCCUGAAAUCCUUUAGUGGCUACCACUGAGGCAAAUGGACUCUGGGGAGGAUUGCAUGGAGUUAGAUACUGAGUCCACUUCUGAGCUCAGUAGUGAAGGGGUCAAUGGCAUAAUAGUUGUGUCCGCCAGAGGUGCAGACACGAAAGUGGUACCAUGUGCCACAUAUUUGCCAAUCCUUGUGUAGGACAAAGGGAGACACCUUAGCAAGUUCCUCAGGACCCUGCUGUAUCAAGAUCUGGCCUGUCUACUUCUCACCUCUUGCAAUCUCCACAUUUACUCUCCCCAAAGUCUAAUCCUUUGGAACUGUACUUCUGUAUAUGCCAUUCCCUCUCCCUGAAUGACUUCAUCUGUCUCUUCUUAAGGAAAGCUUUGUUUGUCUUUUGACAUUCAGAUCUGUUGCCUCCUCUGGAAAGCCUUCACAAGCCUUCCUAGGCAAAUUUAUUUUCUUCUCUGUCCUCUAGAUCCUUUGCUGUCUGUCUUUCUUUCAAAAUAUAAUUCACAUACUAUAAAUUUUCACCAUUUUUAAGUGUUCUAUUCAGUGCUUUUUAGUAUAUUCACAAGAUUAUGCAACCAUCACCACUGUAUAAUUCCAAAACAUUUUUUUUCUUUCUUUUUUUAUUUUUCUUUUUACAUCUGACCUGCAGCAUAUGGAAAUUCCCACCCUAGGGGUCGAAUUGGAGCUGCAGCUGCUGGCCUACACCACAGCCACAGCAAUGCAGGAUCCAAGCUGAGUCUGUGAGCUACAUACACCACAGCUCAUGGCAACUCAGAUCCUUAACCCACUGAGAGAGGC